GGCGCCAGCACGUCCGGUUUUCGUUGGCCGCUCUUCGUCGGCCGCGGCCGCUGUAGCUGCUGCUGCUACCCCGUAGUGCUGCUCUUCGUCCGGCUAGCUGAGGGCGGCGUGACCUCCUCCUUUGUGCGGUUUUUCUGCGCGUUGUCCCGAAGGGCGCUGCUUUUCCCGCGACCGGCAGCAUGGGCCGGGAGUCUCGCCACUAUCGGAAGCGAUCAGCAUCAAGGGGGCGCUCUGGAAGUCGUUCUAGAAGUCGCUCACCCUCAGACAAAAGAAGUAAACGUGGAGAUGAUAGACGUUCUAGAAGCAGAGAUAGAGAUAGGAGGAGAGAGAGGUCUCGAAGCAGAGAUAAAAGAAGAUCUCGGUCAAGAGACCGGAAGCGCCUGAGGCGUUCCAGAAGUAGAGAGAGAGAGAGAAGUCGAGAGCGAAGAAGAUCUCGAAGUCGAGACAGGAGACGCUCGAGGAGUAGAAGCCGAGGCCGGCGAUCCAGAUCCUCCAGUCCUGGCAAUAAAAGCAAGAAAGCUGAGAAUAGGUCUAGGUCCAAAGAGAAAACAGAUAGUGGGGAAAGUUCUAAAGAGAAGAAAAAAGACAAAGAUGACAAGGAAGAUGAAAAAGAAAAAGAUGCUGGCAACUUUGAUCAGAAUAAGCUGGAAGAAGAAAUGAGAAAGCGAAAAGAGAGAGUAGAAAAAUGGCGAGAAGAGCAACGUAAAAAGGCCAUGGAAAACAUAGGGGAACUGAAAAAAGAAAUUGAAGAGAUGAAACAAGGGAAAAAAUGGAGCUUAGAAGAUGAUGAUGAUGAUGAAGAUGAUCCUGCAGAGGCUGAAAAGGAAGGAAAUGAAAUGGAGGGUGAGGAGUUAGAUCCAUUAGAUGCUUACAUGGAAGAAGUAAAAGAGGAAGUAAAGAAGUUUAAUAUGAGAAGUGUGAAAGGUGGUGGAGGAAAUGAAAAGAAGUCUGGGCCAACAGUCACAAAAGUUGUCACUGUAGUGACAACCAAAAAAGCAGUGGUAGAUUCUGAUAAGAAGAAAGGUGAGCUGAUGGAGAAUGACCAGGAUGCCAUGGAGUAUUCUUCAGAAGAGGAAGAAGUUGAUCUUCAGACAGCUCUUACAGGAUAUCAGACAAAACAGAGAAAGCUUCUAGAACCAGUGGACCAUGGAAAAAUUGAAUAUGAACCAUUCAGAAAAAACUUUUAUGUUGAAGUUCCAGAAUUAGCAAAAAUGUCUCAAGAGGAGGUCAAUGUAUUUCGGUUGGAAAUGGAGGGCAUUACUGUCAAGGGAAAAGGUUGCCCCAAACCAAUUAAAUCUUGGGUCCAGUGUGGAAUUUCCAUGAAGAUCUUAAAUUCUCUCAAAAAGCAUGGCUAUGAAAAGCCCACGCCAAUCCAAACUCAGGCGAUUCCUGCUAUAAUGUCUGGACGAGAUUUGAUUGGUAUUGCCAAGACAGGAAGUGGAAAGACCAUUGCUUUUCUCUUACCCAUGUUUAGACACAUCAUGGAUCAGAGGUCAUUAGAAGAAGGAGAGGGGCCAAUAGCUGUCAUCAUGACUCCAACUCGAGAACUGGCUUUACAAAUUACUAAAGAAUGUAAGAAGUUUUCGAAGACCCUGGGACUUAGAGUGGUGUGUGUUUAUGGAGGAACAGGAAUCAGUGAGCAGAUUGCUGAGCUGAAAAGAGGUGCUGAAAUUAUUGUUUGCACACCUGGUCGAAUGAUUGACAUGUUAGCAGCUAACAGUGGUCGGGUCACAAAUCUUCGGAGAGUGACAUACGUGGUUUUAGAUGAAGCAGACAGAAUGUUUGACAUGGGUUUUGAACCACAGGUAAUGCGCAUUGUGGAUAAUGUCCGUCCUGAUCGACAGACAGUUAUGUUUUCAGCUACUUUUCCCAGAGCUAUGGAGGCUUUGGCUCGCCGAAUCUUGAGUAAACCCAUUGAAGUGCAAGUUGGAGGCAGAAGUGUGGUUUGCUCAGAUGUGGAACAACAAGUGAUUGUGAUUGAAGAAGAAAAGAAAUUCUUGAAGUUACUUGAGCUUCUUGGCCAUUAUCAAGAAUCAGGAUCUGUCAUUAUAUUUGUGGAUAAGCAGGAACAUGCUGAUGGUCUUCUGAAAGAUUUAAUGAGAGCAUCUUAUCCUUGCAUGUCUCUUCAUGGAGGCAUUGAUCAAUAUGACAGAGAUAGCAUCAUAAAUGACUUUAAGAAUGGGACCUGCAAACUUCUCGUAGCUACAUCUGUUGCUGCUCGGGGUCUAGACGUGAAACAUCUGAUUCUUGUAGUAAAUUACAGCUGCCCCAACCAUUAUGAGGAUUAUGUGCACAGAGCAGGACGGACUGGAAGAGCAGGCAAUAAAGGUUAUGCAUAUACUUUUAUCACAGAAGAUCAAGCUCGCUAUGCCGGUGACAUAAUUAAAGCUCUUGAAUUGUCGGGAACUGCAGUGCCUCCUGAUCUGGAGAAACUUUGGAGUGAUUUCAAAGAUCAGCAGAAAGCUGAAGGGAAAAUAAUUAAAAAGAGUAGUGGGUUCUCUGGUAAGGGAUUCAAGUUUGAUGAGACAGAACAAGCUUUGGCUAAUGAGAGGAAAAAGUUGCAAAAAGCGGCUCUCGGUCUGCAAGAUUCAGAUGAUGAGGACGCUGCAGUUGACAUUGAUGAACAAAUUGAAAGUAUGUUUAAUUCAAAGAAGAGAGUUAAAGAUAUGGCUGCUCCUGGAACAUCCAGUGUUCCUGCUCCAACUGCAGGAAAUGCUGAGAAAUUAGAAAUUGCUAAGAGAUUGGCUCUUAGAAUCAAUGCUCAGAAGAAUUUGGGCAUUGAGUCUCAGGUAGAUGUGAUGCAACAGGCCACCAAUGCAAUUCUCAGAGGUGGCACCAUCCUGGCUCCCACUGUGUCUGCCAAAACCAUUGCAGAGCAACUUGCUGAAAAGAUUAAUGCCAAGCUCAAUUAUGUGCCUUUGGAGAAACAAGAAGAGGAGAGACAGGAUGGUGGACAGAAUGAAUCUUUUAAGAGAUAUGAGGAAGAAUUAGAGAUCAAUGACUUCCCACAGACUGCUAGGUGGAAGGUUACCUCUAAGGAAGCUCUGCAGAGAAUCAGUGAAUAUUCUGAAGCUGCAAUUACAAUCAGAGGAACAUAUUUCCCACCUGGAAAAGAACCUAAGGAAGGAGAGCGGAAAAUUUACUUGGCAAUUGAAAGUGCCAAUGAACUGGCUGUGCAGAAAGCAAAGGCAGAAAUCACCAGGCUUAUAAAAGAAGAACUGAUUCGGCUGCAAAAUUCAUACCAACCAACAAAUAAAGGAAGAUACAAAGUCUUAUAAAACAUCCGGAAAAAACUUUUUACUUGUGCUGGUCUGUGACACAUGUGGCAGUUGUCUCCAGUUUACAAUGUAUUGUAAAUUAAGAUUUUUAAAAUUCUGUCUUGCUGAUUUUUUUUUAAAUAUAUGAAACCAGUAUUUGCUAAAGAAAUCUUCUUUCAGUAAGUACCACCAGAAUUAUCAAACUGUAUUUAAAGCAGGCCUGUUUUCUGUCUAUUAUGUCCUUUAAUGUAAACUUUAUCAAUAUUUUAAAUAUCUGGAUAAUAUUCCAGAAGUUUAAAAAAAUGGAAAUAUUUGGACUUUCUAUUGACAGUAAUAAAGUAUACAAGUCACUAAGGGGCUCUUCACCUUAUCCUCUUGAAAUGAAAUUGUGAUCAUCUUCUCAAAAAUAGAAUAAUGUGGCAGUCUCACAUUGGUGACAGUUGGUGCUCCCUUCAGCCUCCUGGAUCACUUUGAGAUUCAGAGUUUUAUAUCAUUUUAGCAUUACUACCUUUUUGUUUGUAUAUCUAGUUGUAAUAAAACACUGAUAGUAUUUUUUUGUCCUAAAGUGAAACACAUUUCUCUGUUAAAACAUUUUUUAGUGUCACACUGACUCUUUGAUUUUUAAAAUCAGAAUGAUGUACAGACUAAAUUGUUUUUUAAUGCAGUAUCAAUAUCUGCUCAUGUUUUCUAAAUUCCUUAUAAAAUAAAGUUAAUUCAACCUACAGUUUCCAAAAAUGAUCUCCGCUUAAAUGUUUUAUGCUGUUGCUCUAAUUUUGUUUACAUUGGUAGGUAUGGGAAAGGAGUAUUGUACUCUGUAUCUUUAUUAAAAAUUCUGGCAAUCCUA